rnacentral:rRNA from 1 species
GACGAACGCUGGCGGCGUGCUUAACACAUGCAAGUCGAACGGAAAGGCCCUGCUUUUGUGGGGUGCUCGAGUGGCGAACGGGUGAGUAACACGUGAGUAACCUGCCCUUGACUUUGGGAUAACUUCAGGAAACUGGGGCUAAUAUCGGAUAGGAGCUCCUGCUGCAUGGUGGGGGUUGGAAAGUUUCGGCGGUUGGGGAUGGACUCGCGGCUUAUCAGCUUGUUGGUGGGGUAGUGGCUUACCAAGGCUUUGACGGGUAGCCGGCCUGAGAGGGUGACCGGCCACAUUGGGACUGAGAUACGGCCCAGACUCCUACGGGAGGCAGCAGUGGGGAAUAUUGCACAAUGGGCGGAAGGCUGAUGCAGCAACGCCGCGUGCGGGAUGACGGCCUUCGGGUUGUAAACCGCUUUCGCCUGUGACGAAGCGUGAGUGACGGUAAUGGGUAAAGAAGCACCGGCUAACUACGUG